AUUCUUAUUCAGUUGCCUUGGUGCACACACGCUCAUGCCUGGCGAAGCCGGGGCCCAGUGCUUGCUCUCGCGAUUUUCAUUCACAUUGCACAGGGAAAAUCCGUAUACCGUUCUAAAGAUUGAUUGGGCAUAGCAAUUAGUACAUUAGUGUGACGUGACAGUGGAAAGAGGAUGGCCAAAAUUACAUAAUAUAUUGGAUUCUUAAAUUAUUGGUCAUAUCCUGUGAACUUGGUUGGACUUUCAUUGGAAUAUACACCCUAACAUCAGUAAUUGAAAUAAAAACUUCAACUGGCCGACUGUGAGCUCAAAAGGCCAAAAUGUCGGGAGGAGGAGAAUCAGUAAAAGUAGCCGUGCGGGUGCGGCCUUUCAACUCAAGAGAAAAAGAAAGGGGGGCAAAAUGUGUGGUGGAGAUGUCAGGAGCCACGACGAAGAUGCACAAUCCUGAAGCCCCAAAGGAUGAACCUAGAUCUUUCACAUUUGAUUACUCAUAUUGGUAAGUCAUAAUUAAUUAAUU